UAACAAGGAUUCCCCCAGUAACGGCGAGUGAAGAGGGAACAGCUCAGAUUUAAAACCUGGUGGGCACCGCCUACCCGGAUUGUAAUCUAUGUUGUGAAGUGCCGAGGCUAAAAUGGUCAACAAGUCCUUUGGAAUAAGGCUUCAAAGAGGGUGACAAUCCCGUUUUUGGCCCAUUCUAGUUCAUAGUGCACUGUUCAACACGCGAGUCAGGUUGUUUGGGAAUGCAGCCUAAAUCGGGUGGUAAAUCCCAUCUAAAGCUAAAUAUUGGCGAGAGACCGAUAGCGAACAAGUACCGUGAGGGAAAGAUGAAAAGAACUUUGAAAAGAGAGUUAAACAGUAUGUGAAAUUGCUGAAAGGGAAGCGUUUGCAGCCAGUGGGGUCAAACCGCGGUUUGUUGGGUGUGAUAAUUGUUUUGAUGACACCCGACAGACUCGGAUUGGCGUAAUGGCUGUCAACGACCCGUCUUGAAACACGGACCAA
rnacentral:rRNA from 1 species